UGUAAUUUCUUCUUUGAAUGAAUGAUGAAGGAGAUAUGAUGAGCGAAUGCAUUAAAGAAACUCAAGAGGAGUUUCCAUGGAUUGAAGUGGAGUUAGGAAUUUGUAAAAGUGAGAGGUGAGGCCAACUCACUGGGAAAGAGUCUAGGCUAAGUCUUGAAGGAGACUAACCUAGGGAGAACUUAAGAACAAGUACAAUGGCCAAAAAUAGGCAACAUUUCAUUACUAAUUCCAAGUUAAGGAAAUACAUGUAUAAGAGACUCCUAUUUAUAAGAGAAAGUCUAUAAAAAACUCUCAAAUGAGAGUGUGACAAGUGUCACCACCUUAUUGGUGCAAAUCCUCUCCAUUAAGGAGAAGACAUGUGGAGACUCAUGCCUUCCUUGCCUACAUUUCUAUUUGCACCCCUCUUUUACUAUUUUACACAUUACUUUGUUUUCUAUUUACAUAUUUCUCUACUUUGGCUCAAAACUUCCUAACUACUCUAUACAAUUUUUACAAGGCUAAGAAAAAAAAAAGACUUUACAAACUCUUCAUUAAAGCUUGAUCUUUGUCUAUCUUCUUGGUCGAAAGUUUUGAGGCUGAACGGUUUCCAUCAUCCUCUCCCUCUUGAAAAGGAUUUGUCCUCAGAUCUGAAUGAUGCUCAAUGACAACAGCCUCUGUUUAUUUGAUGUUUUCCUCCUGGGUCAAAUAUCAAUCUACACUAAACAUCAAACAAACAUGAGAUAAAUUCUUUUUUAAAAGAAAAUUAAAACAAAAGAAAACUAAACAAAAAUAAGGCCCUAAUUCUACUCCAGAAAAAGAGUUUUUUGUACUUUCCUUUUCUAUCAUCACUUUUUUCUCUCUUUUCUUUCUCUUCUCUAUCUUUCCUUUCGUUCUCCUCUCUUUCCCUUUUCUCCUUCUCUUAUUUCUUUAUGACAAGAGCUUGGAAUUUUUCUCUAAACUCUUUUUCUCUUCUAACAUAUUCUUUUUCUCUAUAUAUAAAAUUUCUUCCUUUCUCUACAAGCUCUUUCAUUUCUUCUCUAAGCCUUUUCUUUUUCACAUAUGAAGGUGGAACAAACUUUCUUCUCAUACACAUCUUCAACUCCUCCCAAUUAAGUACUUCUGAUGCCAUUUAUAACAUCAGUUUCCCUUUUUGUCCACCAAGACCUAGCAUAUUCUUGAAAACUAAAUAUGCUUCAACAUUUUUAUUUCCAUCAAAGUAAGAAACGUAUACUUUAGGCUUGGUAGAAUAAUAUAAAUUUCUAGGCUCAAAACACAUCCCUUCCUUUUUUUUGAUAAUGAGGGUUAUAAAUCUUUCUUCUAUGACUAUGCUCCUCAUCUCUAUGACUAUUUCCUUUUUGGCCCAGUUUUUCAUAUCUAUACCCUAUCUUCCUUUCUUUUUCCAGGUCUUUUGGAAGUUCUAUACCUUGUUUUUCUUUAACUUUUCUCUCUUUUUUUUGCCUUAAAAUUCUAGGUUCCUUCUCAAGAAUGGCAAGACAGAUAUCUCUUUCAAUCUUUUUCUUUACUUGUUGAAUAAUCUCUUGUUGCCUCCACAGUUGAAGUGACUUAAGUUCUUGAGAAUUAUUUUUCAAUUGCUUUGAUGAAGAAUUUGAAUCACUUCUACUAGGAUAAGAAGUAAACAUAGACAUAUUAAGCUUUGUAUUUAAAAGAUUUUUCACAAGAAGGAAAGUGAGUUUAGCACACAAGGUAAAUUCUCAGGAAAGAGAGGUGGAUCACAAUGGACACUCUUAAGUACCAAGUCUUUCCUAGCCAAAACUUAUCCGAAUGCACUUCACAAAUCUCCUUCCAAUGAAAACUUCUUCAACACAAACAAAGAGUUUUCUAAAAAAAGAAACUAAAAGAAAGCUUUUAAAAACUAAGAAUUUAAAUUGCAAAAUUUUAAACUAGACGACUCCUAAUGGUGAGGCAUGUUGGCACUUGUGAGCCUUCAAGACACUCACCGUUUAAAGCGUGCAUCUAAUAAGCAAAUUAAAGAAAACUUAUAGGAGAUGGAAGAACACCAAAGGCUCUUCCAAGACACCUAAAGUAAAGAUAAUGGCCAAAUUACACAACAAUUGAAAUCACACAAAAUUUUAAAAAAAUAAUCUUCAAAGUUUUUUUCUUUUCUCUCAAUAAGUGUUUCCCUCUAAAGCCUUUACUUGUUUGUCCUCCAAAGGUGAGUACCCCUUGCAAAGUCCUUUGCCUUCUCUUAGGAUGCUACCUAGAGGUUAGCUCAAUUAUCACAAAGAACAAAUUCAAGGUAUAUUCCACUUCAAGAGGUCAAUAAUAAAAGCAAUAAAAGCUCAAUUUGAAGAGUGAAACUCAAGGGAGAUUAGAGAUGACAAACACAAAGAUUAUCCAUAAAAUCAAGACAAACAAGAAAUUAAAGGUUUUCAAGAAAGUAGGCAAUCAAAAGGAAACACCUAAAGAUAGCCACUAGAAUGGAUUACAAAAUUAAAACAAAGAAUAACCAAAUAUUUUUAAUAGAGCAUGAAACCCAAAAUGUGGUUGGCCCAAUGUAACUUGGCUGAAAUUAAAAGUUGUAAUGCUGUUUGUCGUACCUCCAAAAUUACUGCACUAAAAUUCUUCAAUUAGAAUUGUGCAGCCCAAGUAAUAGUGCAACACGGUUUUGGCCCAAAAUGCUUCACUACAGCCAAUUAAAUUCUGUUGUCACGUUUUGUUCCAAUUAAAUUUCUUGCGGUCCAAAAAUUCCUUCAAUUGUAAACUGCUCCAGCUUGUUUUAGGAAUAAAACUAAAUCAAAUUUCAUUGUACACCAAUUUCAUUCAUCAAAGGAUUUCAACAAAUCAUGGACCCCACCGUGUUUAUGACCGUGAACCACUGCCAAUUCAUCCAAAUCACCACAUUACUAUAUUAUCGGUUGGGCCCCACUGAUUGCAAGCCAUUUCAAUUUCUUGAUGCCUGCACUUCCAACGUUGAAUUAACUAUCUCAAAUGAAUUCACCAAUCAACAAAUCACUAACCCAAAACUUCAGACAUUGCACAAAGUUUUGCACGAAUAGCAAAAUCAGAAAUGGCACCAAAUCAUCGUGUUUACUGUUUAAUAUUUCCAAUAGUUGUCUGCAUUCAUUCAAUCUUGUUGCUCACGCUAAUACAAUUAAACAAACUAUACCACUUUAAUUUGCAGCACCAAAUUGAAAAUGAAAACUGCACCAGAAUUUUACACCAAAAAUCAGAAAUAUCAGUACCAAAAUCUACCGUGUUCUGUUUCAACAAAUCCAAGAUUGAUCAAAGCAUCAUAAAUUGUCUCUAAUUUGGUUAAUAUGCAGCACUGCAACUCCAAAUCAAUCUUCAAUUUCCAGCUAUUCAAUUGAAUUAGCACCGCUUGCUUCACAACUGUGAAUUUAUCCCAAUCCAAUCAACCAAGAAUCUUCCACCAAGAGCACCAAAGAUCAAAUGAAAUUCAGAGACACAGUUUCAAUUAGAAACUACAACAGCAAAACCAGAAAUACAAAGAAGCUUGAUUCCAAAUGAAUUGAGCCAAAACAAUUUAUCAUGCACUUUCUCUGCAGUUUAACCAAAAUACAAACUGCUUCAUACUUCACCACUAAUCAAUUACUAACACUGCCAGCUUCAAAUAAAAAUUGUUUCACACCCAGCUUCAAAUCACAGAUUCAAGUUGAUGAAAAAUCAGCUACCAAAAUCAGCACCAGAAUCUCCAAAAGAAAUCAGAAAAACUCAACCAGAGAAUGUGCCAAAUCAAAGAACAAAUCAUAAACUGUCUCUAUUUCAAGAAUUCGUUGUUCGUCGUUUUCUCGUGCACUCAACAAACAAAAAUUGACAAGAAAUUGUACCAUCAAUUUGUACUGUGAUAGAUUUUCCAGUGAAAAGCAAUGAACCCUUUCAAGUAAAAUUUCUUCGAUCCUAUUUCGUUCGUCACCGGAACGAUUCCGUGUUUGCACCGUUUCAACUUCUCCACCGUAGGAAAACCUGAUUUAGGUCACCGGGAAUCGCAACUGCCAUUCAACGGUUCAUAUCGCACCCAUGAAUCAAUUCAUUCUUCACUGCUUGAUUCUUCGAUUUUCGAUUCACCAAACCAACUGCCGUUUGCGAUUCCUCCGUUCACAAUUCCUCCGCGCGCGAUUCCGAUUUAGGUCAUCGGAAAUCACAAACCUCCGUUUGGCACCGUUAAUAUUCUUCAAUCAAUCUUCGCACACCGAUUCAAGAUGAAGCCGAAGAAGAAAAAUGAUGCAGAAGAUGAAGAACAACAAUGCAAAUCGCAGAGAAAUUUUCAAGAAUAAAGUCCGAGAAACCUAAACCAGAUCUGCUAUUCGUACCUCUGGAUUCACUGUCCGCACCAAAGAACCAAUGAGAUAUCCAAACAGACCUAGAUACUCUUCACACCUUAGAAAUUUCUUUUUGAACCACAAACAAUUUUCGGACUAAAAAAUCAAAAGCGCUCAAGAGCUCUAGUCUAUGAAGAAAUUUGAAAAAAAACUUCAAAAAAGUUCAACUAAUGGAGUUUAUGACAAAUUUGGACUAAACAUGACUCUAGACAAAACAUUUAUGAUUAUAAAAUCAAAAUGACUCAAAUAUAAAAAAUUUCACCGAACAAAUUUGAAGAAAACUAAAAAAAAUUCAAAAGCACACAUGAAUAUGAACAAAAGAACACCUAAAAGCACAUACAUGAAGGUUCAAGUAAGAACAAUUAAUUUGAACCGAACAAAAAGACAAAAAACACAAAAUCAAUCGGUAAACAUUCAAGACAAUCAAGAAAAUUAUGAAAAACACGGAAAUUAGAAAAAAAUAGAAGAAGAUCAUACAACCACACCAAAUGAUGGAAAACUGUUCUUCUUAUAGUAGUGAUCUUUGUAAUUUCUUCUUUGAAUGAAUGAUGAAGGAGAUAUGAUGAGCGGAAGCAUUAAAGAAACUCAAGAGGAGUUUCCAUGGAUUGAAGUGGAGUUAGGAAUUUGUGAGAGUGAGAGGUGAGGCCAACUCACUAGGAAAGAGUAUAGGCUAAGUCUUGAAGGAGACUAACCUAGGGAGAACUUAAGAACAAUAAGAAUGGCCAAAAAUAGGUAGCAUUUCAUUACUAAUUCCAAGUUAAGGAAAUAAAUGUAUAAGAGACUCCUAUUUAUAGGAGAAAGUCUAUAAAAAACUCUCAAAUGAGAGUGUGACAAGUGUCACCACCUUAUUGGUGCAAAUCCUCUCCAUUA
rnacentral:lncRNA from 1 species